rnacentral:lncRNA from 1 species
UGGUGGUGAGAACUUGGCUUCUGAUGAAACCAGUGGUUAUUAAACGGCCGUGGAUUUGGUUUACGUCGGUCAGAGUCCUGCAUUUCUGGAGAAGAGCUAAAGUUGGCAGUGUUGAGUUCCAAGGCUGGUUUAGAUUCGCACAGGUAAGCAUCAACUCUAUUUUCUGUGUUUUAGAUUCUACAAUCCCUUGUUAGAAAUUAGUGUGUCCAUACUCUAGAAAUUAUCAUCUUUAGAUAUUAUUUGAACAAAAAGACAAACGCUUCAGAUAUUAUCAUCUUUCAACGGUUUUCAACGGCCAAAAUUCAUGCACUAUCCAGCUACACGAUGGAGUGGAUUGAGUACAAAACGACGUCGUUUGUUUCUUUCAAAAGAAAAAUGAGCCUGGUUAAAGCCCACAAGUACGACCAAGAAAGAG